GAAGAUGGAAGUACUGGAUUGCCAACCUACUCAUUUUUCUCUAGUGAAAGAACCAGGAACUCAGUGCCUAAGAAGCAAAAUCUUCUUGUAGAAAUGGCAGUGGGUGGCCACUGUCCACCAUGAAAGAACCUUACUCUGCUGGAAAGGCUCAACCCAUUCUAGUUAUGUCAAACUCAACCUGCUCUUCCUCCUCCUCUAGCAAGCUUGAAGGUGAGCACCUCGAAGGGCUUCUUUUUAUGUUGAAAGGCACGGGUUUGCAUGGCGGUUCAUCAGAGGUCAAUACCCCAGUUUGAGAAAGUCCACUGUGGGGAGGAAAGAGAGACUGAAACAAGCCCUGGAAAAACAAAGAAUGGAACACCCCUCCGCUGACUUCAACCA
rnacentral:lncRNA from 10 species